GUGGGGAAUAUUGGACAAUGGGCGAAAGCCUGAUCCAGCAAUGCCGCGUGAGUGAUGAAGGCCCUAGGGUUGUAAAGCUCUUUCACCGAUGAAGAUAAUGACGGUAGUCGGAGAAGAAGCCCCGGCUAACUUCGUGCCAGCAGCCGCGGUAAUACGAAGGGGGCUAGCGUUGUUCGGAAUUACUGGGCGUAAAGCGCACGUAGGCGGACAUUUAAGUCAGGGGUGAAAUCCCAGAGCUCAACUCUGGAACUGCCUUUGAUACUGGGUGUCUUGAGUAUGGAAGAGGUAAGUGGAAUUCCGAGUGUAGAGGUGAAAUUCGUAGAUAUUCGGAGGAACACCAGUGGCGAAGGCGGCUUACUGGUCCAUUACUGACGCUGAGGUGCGAAAGCGUGGGGAGCAAACAGGAUUAGAAACCCCUGUAGUCC
rnacentral:rRNA from 1 species